rnacentral:rRNA from 1 species
GGUCUACCGUGGUUGUAACGAGUACAGAGAAUCAGGGUUUGGUUCUGGAGAGGCCGCCUGAGAAACGGCGACCACUUCCAAGGAAGGCAGCAGGCGCGCAAAUUACCCACUCUCAAAACGAGGAGGUAGUGAAGAGAAAUAACGAUGUUAGUCUUUUUAAGGCUGACAAUCGGAAUGGGAACACUGUAAACAGGUUAUCGAUUAACAAUUGGAGGGCAAGUCUGGUGCCAGCAGCCGCGGUAAUUCCAGCUCCAAUAAGGAAAACUAAAGUUGCUGUGUUUAAAAAGCUCGUAGUUGAAUUUCGGGUAUUUGUUGCUAGCUGGUCUAACUGGCCAUGUUGGUUAACAGAUCCUCAUUUGCUGGACGGCUGGCGAUGAUCUUCAUCGAUUGUCGUCAGUUGCCAGAACGUUUACUUUGAGAAAAUUAGAGUGCUAAAAGCAGGCUCACGCCUAUAUAUAUUGCAUGGAAUAAUGAAAUAAGAUCUCGAUUUUAUUUCGUUGGUUUUAGAAAUUGAGAUAAUGAUUAAUAGGAUCAGAGGGGGGCGUACGUGCUGUGGUGUGAGAGGUGAAAUUCUUGGAUCGCCACAGGACGAACAGCAGCGAAGGCGUUCGCCAAGAAUGUUUUCAUUAAUCAAGAACGAAAGUUUGAGGUUCGAAGACGAUUAGAUACCGUCCUAGUUAAACCAUAAACGUUGCCAACUGUCUUUUAGAUGCGGUUAUUUAUAUGACUCAUCUGGCGGAUCUCGAGAAAUCUAAGUUUUUAGGUUCCGGGGGAAGUAUGGUUGCAAAGCUGAAACUUAAAAGAAUUGACGGAAGGACACACAAGAAGUGGAGCCUGUGGCCUAAUUUGACCCAACACGGGAAACCUUACUCGGCCAGGACACUUUUAGGAUUGACAGAUUGAGAGCUCUUUCUUGAUUAGGUGGGUGGUGGUGCAUGGUCGUUCGUAGUUCGUGGAGCGAUUUGUCUGAUUAAUUUCGAUAACGAACGAGACUCCGGCUUACUAAAUAGUCUAAAGUUCGAAGGGACUUUUCAAGACUUCUUAGCAGGAUAAGUGGCACUUUUUAAGCCACACGAAAUGGAGCAAUAACAGGUCUGUGAUGCCCUUAGAUGUCCGAGGCUGCACGCGCGCUACACUGGAGAGUUCAGAAUGUUUCUUCCUACUUCGACAGAAGUGGGUAACCAUGAAAUUCUCUUCGUGACUGGGAUCGGAGCUUGCAAUUAUUCUCCGUCAACGAGGAAUUCCUAGUAAGCACUAUUUCAUCAGAAUGUGCUGAUUAUGUCCCUGUCCUUUGUACACACCGCCCGUCGCUACUACCGAUUGAAUGUUUUAGUGAGAUCUUCGGCUUGGUUUUCCGAGCGGCUUUCGGGUCGUUCGGUUUAUAUCGAAAAGACGCUCAAACUGGAUCAUUU